CCUGCCUGCCCUGUGACUAUAUGUUUAACGGCCGCGGUAUUUUGACCGUGCAAAGGUAGCGCAAUCACUUGUCUCUUAAAUGGAGACCUGUAUGAAUGGCAAGACGAGGGCUAAGCUGUCUCCUUUUCCAAGUCAGUGAAAUUGAUCUCCCCGUGCAGAAGCGGGGAUAUUCUCAUAAGACGAGAAGACCCUAUGGAGCUUUAGACACUAAACAGCCCAUGUUAAACAACCUACAUUAAAGGUAAGAACUUAGUGGCACCUCGUUUAAUUGUCUUCGGUUGGGGACCGCGGGGGAAAAACCAGCCCCCAUGUGGAGUGGGAGCAUGCUCUCCUAAAACCAAGAAUAACUUUUCUAAGUAACAGAAAUUCUGACCAAAUAUGAUCCGGCAAUGCCGAUCAACGAACCCAGUUACCCUAGGGAUAACAGCGCAAUCCUCUCCCAGAGUCCCUAUCGACGAGGGGGUUUACGACCUCGAUGUUGGAUCAGGACAUCCUAAUGGUGCAGCCGCUAUUAAGGG
rnacentral:rRNA from 1 species